GAUGAACGCUGGCGGCGUGCCUAAUACAUGCAAGUCGAGCGAACAGACGAGGAGCUUGCUCCUUUGACGUUAGCGGCGGACGGGUGAGUAACACGUGGGUAACCUACCUAUAAGACUGGGAUAACUUCGGGAAACCGGAGCUAAUACCGGAUAAUAUUUCGAACCGCAUGGUUCGAUAGUGAAAGAUGGCUCUGCUAUCACUUAUAGAUGGACCUGCGCCGUAUUAGCUAGUUGGUAAGGUAACGGCUUACCAAGGCAACGAUACGUAGCCGACCUGAGAGGGUGAUCGGCCACACUUGAACUGAGACACGGUCCAGACUCCUACGGGAGGCAGCAGUAGGGAAUCUUCCGCAAUGGGCGAAAGCCUGACGGAGCAACGCCGCGUGAGUGAUGAAGGUCUUCGGAUCGUAAAACUCUGUUAUUAGGGAAGAACAAACGUGUAAGUAACUGUGCACGUCUUGACGGUACCUAAUCAGAAAGCCACGGCUAACUACGUG
rnacentral:rRNA from 1 species